rnacentral:rRNA from 1 species
AGCACUCGGCCUUGAAUCUUCGGAGGAAAGGCGGUUUGACUGAGCGGCGGACGGGUGAGUAACGCGUGGGCAACCUGCCCCAUACGGGGGGAUAACAGUUGGAAAUGACUGCUAAUACCGCAUAAGACCGCGGUGCCGCAUGGCACAGCGGUAAAAACUCCGGUGGUAUGGGAUGGGCCCGCGUCUGAUUAGCUAGUUGGCGGGGUAACGGCCCACCAAGGCGACGAUCAGUAGCCGACCUGAGAGGGCGACCGGCCACAUUGGGACUGAGACACGGCCCAAACUCCUACGGGAGGCAGCAGUGGGGAAUAUUGCACAAUGGGGGAAACCCUGAUGCAGCGACGCCGCGUGAGCGAUGAAGUAUUUCGGUAUGUAAAGCUCUAUCAGCAGGGAAGAAGAUGACGGUACCUGACUAAGAAGCCCCGGCUAACUACGUGCCAGCAGCCGCGGUAAUACGUAGGGGGCAAGCGUUAUCCGGAUUUACUGGGUGUAAAGGGAGCGUAGACGGCGAUGCAAGCCAGAUGUGAAAGCCCGGGGCUCAACCCCGGGACUGCAUUUGGAACUGUGUGGCUGGAGUGUCGGAGAGGCAGGCGGAAUUCCUAGUGUAGCGGUGAAAUGCGUAGAUAUUAGGAGGAACACCAGUGGCGAAGGCGGCCUGCUGGACGAUGACUGACGUUGAGGCUCGAAAGCGUGGGGAGCAAACAGGAUUAGAUACCCUGGUAGUCCACGCCGUAAACGAUGACUGCUAGGUGUCGGGCGGCAAAGCCGUUCGGUGCCGCAGCAAACGCAAUAAGCAGUCCACCUGGGGAGUACGUUCGCAAGAAUGAAAC